GAAGCGAGUUUGCAAGAAUCGGAGAAGCGUUUAUUUCUUUUUUCAUUUGUUUGCGCCAAAACGUUCCCCAAAAUUUCUUCCAAUUUUCUAAAACCACUUUUUCUUUUUUUCUCUUUUCUUUCUUCUUCUUCUUCCUCUAGAACUCUGUUUCAUUCAAUUUCACCUGAUUCCUUCUCCGAUUCCGUUUCUCAUUCCCUUUCAACAGAUACCCAAAUACCCAAUUUUCCAUUUCAUUCCAAUUCUUCUUUUCCUUUUCCUUUUUCCUCUGCAUUUUCUCCCAACCCUCUACUUUCAUCACCUCUUGAUUUCUUCCCGCUUCCUCUUUUCUGGGUUCAAUCCCUUUUUCUUCCUUCGAUUCUGGGUUUUCUUUGCCGUCUCAAGCUGCCUAUGCUUGAUUCCACCUUUCAGAUCUUUCUUCUUUUUCUUGUUGCGCUUCUAGGGAUUUCUACUGUUCGUUUUGUUAUUGGGUUCUCGCUCUAGUUUGCUGCUGUACUGGAAUGAAUAGUGUGUUCAGUGAGCAAAUACUUGCUGAUAAGCUGUCGAAGCUCAAUAGCACGCAGCAGUGUAUUGAAACUUUGUCACAUUGGUGUAUAUUUCAUAGAGGCAAGGCUGAAUUGGUUGUUGCAACAUGGGAUAAGCAGUUCCACAAUUCUGAAAUGGUUCAGAAAGUUCCUCUUUUGUAUCUUGCUAAUGAUAUCUUACAAAACAGUAAGCGUAAGGGAAAUGAAUUUGUUACUGAGUUCUGGAAGGUUCUUCCAUCAGCGCUUAAGGAUGUCCUUGAGAAUGGUGACAGCCAUGGAAAGAAUGUAAUUUCUAGAUUGGUAGAUAUAUGGGAACAAAGGAAGGUAUUUGGAUCCCGGACUCGAAGCCUCAAAGAUGUAAUACUUGGGGAAGAGGCACCUCCACCUCUAGAGUUUAGCAAAAAACGCACUCGAUCAGUCAGAAUUGUCAAAAGAGAUUCACGGUCAAUUAGAACAAAAUUGUCUAUUGGAAGUGCAGCUGAAAAAAUAGUAUCAGCAUUCCACCUGGUCCUUAGUGAAUAUUCUAAUGAAGAAACUGAGAUGACCAACUGUAAUUCUGCAGUUCAACGCGUAAGGAAGAUGGAAAAUGACGUUGAUUUUGCUUGUUCCAUGGCAAAAAAUCCCCAGCGUAAAAAGUUAGCCAAAGAACUGGAAGAGGAAGAAAGUGUUCUGAAACAGUGUAUUGAGAAAUUGCAAUCGGUUGAAGCCAGUCGGCUGGCACUUAUCUCUCAGUUAAAAGAAGCUUUGCAUGUUCAGGAAUCGGAGCUGGAGAAUAUUCGAACCCAGAUGCAGGUAGCUCAGGCUCAAGCAGAAGAGGCUAAAAAUAUGCAAAACCGGCUAAAUGAUGAAGGUUAUCUAUCGAAAACUUCCAUCACUGAUUCAAAUGCAAAAAUGGGACAGACUCCUAAGAAGUCGGCUGCAGCCAUUGCAGCAGAGGUUGCUGACAAGCUUGCAGCUUCUAGCUCCUCUCAAAUGAUCAUGACAUCGGUUCUCUCCACAUUUGCGGCUGAGGAGGCAAAGCAUACUGGUCUAACAAAGAACAAUAAUGGAUUGAAUGCAUUUGCAUCGAAGCCCAUGCGUUCCUCUGCUAAUUCUAUUACAAAACCUGAAGCUUCAGCCGUUGGUUCAGAUCCUAAUGUUUUCAUGUCCAUGCAGCCCCUUCCUGCUCCCGCUAACCAUUCAUAUCAAUCAGUUAUGGUGCCCCAACCAACAAUGCAGAGCCAAGCCUCAAAUUCACAGACUCAGUAUCAGAUGCUUCCAAGUGCACCUUCUCAGCAAUAUUUGCAGCUCUCAAAUGGAGUCUUAACCCCAUAUGGUUAUGGUAGUCUUCCAAACUCAACUCCGGUACCACCACCACCGAUGCCCCACAUGGUUAGUCCAGUGGUGCCCUUGACCCAGCAGAUGCUGCAACAGACAAUACCUUUGGCUCAACAACCAUCACCUAUGAUACAAACACAACCGGUACCUUUCACGCAGCAACCUCUAGCACCUAGUUUUAGACCGCUUCAGCCGCCGGGGAUGGUGUAUUAUGGUCAUCCUCCCCCUUCUCAGUGAAUGUUUUAUGCUAAAGGUCAAAUUUUAGACAGUGCCACUUUCGUCGUGUCAUGUUGAUCUCUAAACGAAUGAGCCUGCGAACGAAGCAAGGGCUAAAUCCUAUCGAGCUGUGGUGGGCUCUACACUUUUGGGAGAGAUCACUCAGCCCUAUGAUUUCUUAAAUAGGUUCCAUAUGGUUCAAUUCAAUUUUAUGAGUUCAAAGUGACGACGACCAUUGUACCGAUAAAAGAAAGACCAGACGACAGACAGAUGGACGACGACAAGCCAUCCCACACGAGUCAUGUUCUUCAUUGUUGAAGCUGUGAAAGUGCUAGCAAUGGCUAUAGUGGGGGAAAUUACAAUAGUUAGUGGCAUGCUUCGUGGAAGUUUUAUAAGGGGAGAGUUUCUUUAGCAAUCAAUAAGAUACGAAUAUGCUUACUGGGACAGCUUGGGAAUGAAAAUUCAAAGGCUCAAAACAUAGACCUUGAGAGCUUAGCUUCGUGAAGCUAUGGUGAAAAUGGUGCCAAGCGGCUUGAAAACGAUAAAGGAAAAUGAUAAACAUAGAACAUAGUUGAUUUUAA